GUCGUGACCGUUCAGUCGAGCAGAAGCUGGCGGCCAUCUUUCUGCUGGCUAGUGCCGAAGUGUGUUGAGAAGCGAAGUGUAUUAAAGUGUGUAAGUUUCAUUACAGGCUUCCCCGCAAUUUUUCCCCGGUUUUCCCGGGAAGGAAAGUUCAGAGUGAAUCAAGAAAACCAACUGCCUGACAGAAUCAAGGCAGUGGCCGUAUUGUGGUGUCGUGUGGCAUAUGACAGCUUGACAGCUUGUGUGUGUGUGUGGUUGUGGGUAUUAGUGUGUGUUUGCCUAUUUGGAAUCAGUGUGUGAAAUCAAAUCGUGCACAAGAGUUAAGUUAGUAGAUACUGUGGUGAAGACGCGUCGUUGGCGUCGACCGACCCCUGUUUUGACAUCUGGCUUGACGUAGCGAAUGGUGCCGCAAAACGAACGUGCGCAAUCAAUAGGAACGGGUGCCACAUCAUUUUCCAGUCGACACCACUCCGGACCGUUCGAAUCUAAGGCAAAACCAUUCGAACUCUGUUAAAAAGCGGUGAAUCAAGGCGAAACAAGUGUUCGGGAGUGCGGUGCUAACUAGAACGACGGUGGUGCCCUGAACCCUUGAUGCGAAGGGAUGCAGUAAUGAAGUGCAUACUCGCCGGAAGCAGCAUUAGCAGCGACGCCGGCAAUGAUGCUGAAGCGAGCAGUUGACAUGCAGCAAGUGCAACGAAGUGAAAGAAGGCAUUCAAUCGUUCAGCGAUCGGUUCGAAGUUGUCAGAAGUUCUAGUGGUGCUGGCGAUGUUAGUGGUGUAAAGAAGGGGGUUUACAGUAAGGAAGUAACGUGCUCUGUAUGCAUCGGGUAGUAAAACGGUACCGAGUGAAGCUUUUCUUUUUCGCAGUGGUAAGGUGUUGCAAAUUGAAAUACCGGAAAAGAAAUUAAUUCAGUGCUGAUUGGUGGAAAACGGCGAACGGCCAGUGAGCAGGGUGGCAGAGUAGACAUCGGUGGAUACAAUGGUGGAACUCGUUGGAGCAAUGUCGA